AGUGAACGCUGGCGGUAGGCCUAACACAUGCAAGUCGAACGAGGGGCGGAAGGGUGAGGAAUACAUCGGAAUCUACUCUGUCGCGGGGGAUAACGUAGGGAAAAUUACGCUAAUACCGCCUAAGAUUGAAUGAGGCGAUGUCGGAUUAGCUAGUUGGCGGGUGAAAGGCCCACCAAGGCGACAAUCCGUAGAUGGUCUGAGAGGAGGAUCAGCCACACUUGAACGGAGACACGGUCCAGACUCCUACGGGAGGCAGCAGUGGGGAAUAUUGGACAAGGGGCGCAAGCCUGAUCCAGCCAUACCGCGUGGGUGAAGAAGGCCUUCGGGUUGUAAAGCCCUUUUGUUGGGAAAGCGGUACCCAAAGAAUAAGCACCGGCUAACUUCGUGCCAGCAGCCGCGGUAAUAC
rnacentral:rRNA from 1 species